rnacentral:rRNA from 1 species
GAUGAACGCUGGCGGCGUGCCUAAUACAUGCAAGUCGAGCGAACAGAUGAGGAGCUUGCUCCUCUGACGUUAGCGGCGGACGGGUGAGUAACACGUGGAUAACCUACCUAUAAGACUGGGAUAACUUCGGGAAACCGGAUCUAAUACCGGAUAAUAUAUUGAACCGCAUGGUUCAAUAGUGAAAGACGGUUUUGCUGUCACUUAUAGAUGGAUCCGCGCCGCAUUAGCUAGUUGGUAAGGUAACGGCUUACCAAGGCAACGAUGCGUAGCCGACCUGAGAGGGUGAUCAGCCACACUGGAACUGAGACACGGUCCAGACUCCUACGGGAGGCAGCAGUAGGGAAUCUUCCGCAAUGGGCGAAAGCUUGACGGAGCAACGCCGCGUGAGUGAUGAAGGUCUUCGGAUCGUAAAGCUCUGUUAUUAGGGAAGAACAAAUGUGUAAGUAACUAUGCACGUCUUGACGGUACCUAAUCAGAAAGCCACGGCUAACUACGUG